rnacentral:tRNA from 1 species
GCGGGGGUUGCCAAGCCAGGUCAAAGGCGUAGCCCUGAGGCGGCUAUCCCGCAGGGGUUCGUGGGUUCAAAUCCCACCCCCCGCACCA